GUUGAGAUUUGCAAAUAUAGAAUUAAAAUUAAUUCUGCAAGUAUUCAAUGGCAAUUCAUUUCCAUGUCUCUUGACACUUAUUAAAUUUUGUCUAUUUUUAAUAAUUUCAAAAGGAGUAAGUUCUAUAAUUGGGAUUCAAUACAAUGAGACUUUUCAUAUGGAAUGGUCUGUAUGGUAAACAAUCAAAUUUUGCCCAUAUUUGGUCUUCUUAACUAGGAGAUCACCAACUAAAUUGAAAUUGUCUUGCCCAAAAUAUUUCAAAAUAAAUCAUUAUUAAAAAUCAUCUAGAUCUUAAGAACAAAACUUAUUUGACAUAUAUAACAAUUAGAAUGAAUUAUACACAAUAUCAUAUUAAACUUAUUAAAUUCUACAAGCUCAUAACAAUCACCAAUUUUAUAUAAAUACUCCUUUUCCAAAGGUAUUUUCACAAACCAUGUUAACUCGUUGACAUUACACAUAUAUAUUUAUAAUGUUGAAAUUUCUGAAGGUUGUUUGCUUGUUUCAUUCCAUGGAAGUGACACUAAAUAAUAGUUCAAUCUUUGUACCAUUUGAUAAUUGGAAACAUUGAUGGUCCUGAAUUCAUAAUAGGUUAAAUUAAUGAGAAAACACACUUGACAUGGUAAUGCCGAUCUUUAUAUCUUCUGGUAAUGAAAUUAUAAACGUCACCCUGAUCUCUUUAGUCCUCUGUGAUAUAACUGCUACUUUUGAUCUCAGGUUCAAAUGACUAACAACUUAAAUGUAUAUCUUAAAAUGAUCCUCAGUAUAAAAUGCUUCUGGUGACCAUUGUAUUUUCCACCUUAAGAACUCCCAAGUGAAAAUGUGUGAAUCCUAAUUAAUCGGUUCAAUGAUUUUGUUCAGUUUUCAACAAUUCAACUUUCAUUUUAUUUUAACUUGAGUAGGUUUUUGCUGUUUCUUUUCUUUAUUCAUUGUAUAUAAGAUGGCUUCAUUGUUGUAAAUAGACAUUAAUCCUGGGUUUGUUAUUUGAUUAUAUAAUGCUGAUAUUUGUUUGAAAGCUGUCAUUCUUUUUAUUUUUCUGAUACUUUUGUGAGCAUUUUACGAUUUGGCAUAAAGCUGUGCUUUUCUGUAUAUGCCAGUACCAAAGUGGCAUUAUUCAGUUGGGAUUAAAAUGUCCCCAGUUGUUGUUCAGAAGUCAUGCUCACUGUUAAAGGCUGCCAUCAUUUAAAUUUAUAAGCAAAUUCCUAGAGAACAUGCAUACCAUACUGUGCAUGAUUCUAUUCCAGAAUUCAUUGUUUCAAAAUUUCUUUGGUUUCUUGCGUGAUAAAUGUUAAUACGAAUUAAUGUAUUUGUUCAUCACAUUUAUUUAUGAUUUUAUUUUCCAAGUAAACUUUAAUGAGGAAUAAUUGUUAUGUAAAUAAAAUGUAAAUAAUGAUAGGUGACUGGUUUUAUAGUGUAAGUAACAUGUAAUAUUUAGUUCUACCAUAUAUAUCAUUUUUUCUUACGUUUCUCCAAAAUCAAUGAAAAUAAAUCUUUUUCAUUUUUAGCAUAAUAAAUCCAGAAAUUACUCCAACCUUCAAUGUAAUCUUUUGAAAUCUAAAAGAGUGGUCAAAAUAACACUAAUUAAUCUCCAGAGAAAAAUGUUUAUACCUUUACUACAUGUACUGAUUGAAAGGUACAACAAAACUUAUAGAAAUUCACUUGCAGCUUGUCAUAUUUGGUCUGUGAAUAAUAAUAUGAAAACUGCAAGGUUAUUUGCAACUUUCAAAUCCCUAAAUUACUUUACUUUGAAAAUCCAUCAAUAGAUUACAAACAGUUGUUGUUUUUUCCCCUUUAAACACUUUUUUUCUCUUUACACCCACCUUUUAAUCAUCCAUUAAGACAAUAUAUGGUUUCUCUUUGACAUAAGAUCUAAGAUUUGAUUCAACACAUAGGCUCUAUUUCACAAUGUAUGAAAAUCUUAUAUUAAAAUGAUCACUUGUCCAGAUUUGAUUAUUUGUUUAUGAAUUAAUUUUGUUUUAUUUUUGCUUUCCAUGUAGCUUAUUGACACGACUU
rnacentral:lncRNA from 1 species